CGUGUAGGCGGGGAUGCAAGUCAGAUGUGAAAUCCCGCGGCUCAACCGCGGAACUGCAUCUGAAACUGCGUCUCUUGAGUGUCGGAAGGGAAAGUGGAAUUCCUAGUGUAGCGGUGAAAUGCGUAGAUAUUAGGAGGAACACCGGUGGCGAAGGCGACUUUCUGGACGAUAACUGACGCUGAGACGCGAAAGCGUGGGGAGCAAACA
rnacentral:rRNA from 1 species